GGCUGGUGGGACAAUCUGGCUGUGCCAUCUGCCAACCCACUGAGAGCCAGAGUGGGUUUGGCCGAUCUGGCUGUCAGGGCAGACCCUCUCCUUCCCACUCUGCUCGCCAUUCCUGUUCUGUCUCUCCUAAACCACUCUCCUUCAAGAGGAUGACCCACCCGUAGCAACACAGAGGGAGUUGAUUCUAGUUCUUGGAUGACCAGAGGCCAUGUGUUUACUACACGAAUAAAUAAUGUGAGGCUUUCUCUUGAUUUCUCUUCCUGUUAUUUCUACCUCCUUUAAGUUAGAAUUAAAGAUUUUGUGAAAAAGUUUGUUUAAUU
rnacentral:sRNA from 1 species